rnacentral:rRNA from 1 species
CCCUUAGAUGUUCUGGGCCGCACACGCGCUACGCUGAAGGAGGCAGCGUGUACUCCUGGAUCGAAAGAUUUGGGUAACCCGCGAAUCUCCUUCGUGCUAGGGAUUGAGGUUUGCAAUUAUCCUUCAUGAACGAGGAAUUCCCAGUAAGUGCAAGUCAUAAGCUUGCGCUGACUACGUCCCUGCCCUUUGUACACACCGCCCGUCGCUACUACCGAUUGAAUGAUUUAGUGAGGACUUCGGACUGGGACCGAUGCGGCUUUCGGGCUGCGUCGGUAUUCUGGAAAGAUGUCCAAACUGUAUCAUUUAGAGGAGGUAAAAGUCGUAACA